rnacentral:rRNA from 1 species
UACGUAGGUGGCAAGCGUUGUCCGGAAUUAUUGGGCGUAAAGAGCUCGUAGGCGGUUUGUUGCGUCGGCUGUGAAAUCCCGAGGCUCAACCUCGGGUCUGCAGUCGAUACGAGCAAACUAGAGUGUUGCAGGGGAGACUGGAAUUCCUGGUGUAGCGGUGAAAUGCGCAGAUAUCAGGAGGAACACCGGUGGCGAAGGCGGGUCUCUGGGCCGAUACUGACGCUGAGGAGCGAAAGCGUGGGGAGCGAACAGG